GUGACUGCGUACCUUUUGUAUAAUGGGUCAGCGACUUAUAUUCUGUAGCAAGGUUAACCGAAUAGGGGAGCCGUAGGGAAACCGAGUCUUAACCGGGCGUUAAGUUGCAGGGUAUAGACCCGAAACCCGGUGAUCUAGCCAUGGGCAGGUUGAAGGUUGGGUAACACUAACUGGAGGACCGAACCGACUAAUGUUGAAAAAUUAGCGGAUGACCUGUGGCUGGGGGUGAAAGGCCAAUCAAACCGGGAGAUAGCUGGUUCUCCCCGAAAGCUAUUUAGGUAGCGCCUCGUGAAUUCAUCUCCGGGGGUAGAGCACUGUUUCGGCUAGGGGGCCAUCCCGGCUUACCAACCCGAUGCAAACUGCGAAUACCGGAGAAUGUUAUCACGGGAGACACACGGCGGGUGCUAACGUCCGUCGUGAAGAGGGAAACAACCCAGACCGCCAGCUAAGGUCCCAAAGUCAUGGUUAAGUGGGAAACGAUGUGGGAAGGCCCAGACAGCCAGGAUGUUGGCUUAGAAGCAGCCAUCAUUUAAAGAAAGCGUAAUAGCUCACUGGUCGAGUCGGCCUGCGCGGAAGAUGUAACGGGGCUAAACCAUGCACCGAAGCUGCGGCAGCGA
rnacentral:rRNA from 3 species